rnacentral:misc_RNA from 1 species
ACAAUGAUUUGGCAUGUAUUUUUAUUAUUUUUAUGAAGAGCAUCAAAAACAUUUUGGCCUUCAGGUCAAAGCAAAGUUUAUUGACUUAACAAGUUGCUGAAGUGAGUUUGAAUCAAGUUAGAUAGUCAAAUAUUCACAUGCUCUUAUUGUGACAUGCAUGUCCAAGAGAAUUUACUUUUUUCUCAAAUCGGAAGGAGAGCAGCCCAUCAUUAUAUUAAGAAGAGAACAAAUACAAGAAAACUACCAAACCAGGGCCAAAUAUACCCAGAAGCACACACAGCCCAAAGAAAAAAAAGUGUAAAAGAAAAGAAAUACUCCCAAGAGAAUAUAGUGAAAUGCUGGGAGCCACAUUCAGUAGCUAAAGAUAAAACUAGAAAUAAGAUAAAAUCCUGCAGUAAAAAUAAGAAUACAACAUCAACAGAGGAUGUGGAUUCCUGCAAUAUUAUGCGGAUGUCAACUUUGUG